rnacentral:lncRNA from 1 species
AUGGCUAUUUUUUCCUCCGAUUUUGAUCAAUCCUAUUUGCCUGAAGAAAAAACUGUUCCAGAUCAGCUCAGAAGUGUGCCUCAAAAACCACUGGUAACAAGUCAGAUCGGCGACCCCCCAACAGAAGACGAAUCAGACUUGGUAAAUAAGAAAUCAUUUUCUGAGCAAGAUUUAGAGUGUGUGACCACCAGGCUUUCAGAAACUGGACAAAUGGAGGCAUUUUCCCUUGCUGUGGACAGUGGAAUAGAUGUGGUGGGUAGAAGAGAAGAGGACUCUUUUCGAAAAUCCCACCACUCACAAGCUUCUUGUAGUGAACCUUCCACACGUAAAACUCUGUUCUGGGACUCUUUUCAGAGGAUGAGUGACAUUGGAAUAUUACAUGAAACUCUUCCAGAAGAAGUUGGUCACCUAAGUCUUAAUAGUUCUACUACUUCAGAGACCAAUUUUAGACUGGAACCAAAUAGUUAUGUGCACAGUGAUGCUUUUCCAGAUGAUGAUGGAAAAAGACAAGCCACUCUAGAAGUGGAUUCCAGUUUUCAGGCUAUUCUCAGUAGUUAUGAGGCUCUGAAGAAAUCUCUUAACAAAAUAAGGCAAGAAUCUCACCUGUCUAAUUCCAAGACACUUGAACAAGACAAAGUAGGAUUGAGCCCUGUAGCCAAAGACAUGCAAGCAGAUGAUACACAUACUUUUUUGGGCACUCAAGAUUUGUUUUACACAGAGCCAUCUUCCCACAUGCCCUUUGAUGAAAGAACACAGUCUUUAUCACCACUAACUAAAGUUUCUCUGGUGGAGCAAAAAUUGAGGACUACGUUACCAUGUAGUCUCAGGGAAUUUCUGCCUAACUUAAAAGAAAAAGAAAUCUCAAAUAAGAAUCUUGAAGCAAGAAAACCUCUGAUUUAACGAGAUGAAGCGGUUUCCAGUUAAUUUAGCUGUGAUGCACUUAAACUGAAGCCUUGUCAUUUACUGAAGCUGAUCUAAACACACCAUUGGAAGAAUAAUAAUCUUUUUCCAAGGUCAAAGAGCAUGCGAAUGCACUUUGGCCUUUUGUAAUGUCUUUAG